rnacentral:rRNA from 1 species
GAUUAGGUAGUUGGCGGUGUAAUGGACCACCAAGCCGUUGAUCCGUACGGGCCAUGAGAGUGGUAGCCCGGAGAGGGACACUGAGAUACUGGUCCCAGCCCUACGGGGUGCAGCAGGCGCGAAACCUUUACAAUGCACGCAAGUGUGAUAAGGGGAUCCCCCGUGCUCAUGCAUUGCAUGGGCUUUUGCCUAGUGUAAAUAGCUAGGCGAAUAAGUGGUGGGAAAGACUGGUGCCAGCCGCCGCGGUAACACCAGCGCCACGAGUGGUGACCACGUUUAUUGGGCCUAAAGCGUCCGUAGCCGGUUUGUGUAAGUCUUUUGUGAAAUUGUUGGGCUUAACCCAACAGCGUGCAAGAGAUACUGCCGGACUCGAGACCGGGAGGAGUCAGAAGUAUUCCAGGGGGAGCGGUUAAAUGUUAUAAUCCCUGGAGGACUACCUGUGGCGAAGGCGUCUGACUAGAACGGCUCUGACGGUGAGGGACGAAAGCCAGGGGAGCGAACCGGAUUAGAUACCCGAGUAGUCCUGGCCGUAAACGCUGUGAGCUAGGUGUCGCGUCAACUACGCGUUGGCGCAGUGUCGAAAGGAAGCUGUUAAGCUCACCGCCUGGGAAGUACGGUCGCAAGACUGAAACUUUAAGGAAUUGGCGGGGGAGCAC